UACGUAGGGGGCAAGCGUUGUCCGGAAUCAUUGGGCGUAAAGAGCGCGUAGGCGGCCCUGUAAGUCCGCUGUGAAAGUCAAGGGCUCAACCCUUGGAUGCCGGUGGAUACUGCAGGGCUAGAGUCCGGAAGAGGCGAGUGGAAUUCCGCGUGUAGCAGUGAAAUGCGUAGAUAUGCGGAGGAACACCGAUGGCGAAGGCAAUCUCCUGGGCCUGCACUGACGCUCAUGCACGAAAGCGUGGGGAGCAAACAGG
rnacentral:rRNA from 1 species